UUAUGGAGCCCACUGCCUACAGAUGGCCUGGCCUACUCUGCCUUGCUGAAGAAUGAGCUGCUGGGGGCCGGCAUCGAGAAAGUGCAGGACCCGCAGACGGAGGACCGCAGGCUGCAGCCUUCCACGCCUGAGAAGAAGGGCCUGUUCACGUAUUCCCUCAGCACCAAGCGCUCCAGCCCUGACGAUGGCAACGAUGUGUCCCCUUACUCCUUGUCCCCAGUCAGCAACAAAAGUCAGAAGCUCCUGCGGUCACCGCGGAAACCUACCCGCAAGAUCUCCAAGAUCCCCUUCAAGGUCCUGGAUGCCCCGGAGCUGCAGGACGACUUCUACCUGAACCUGGUGGACUGGUCAUCCCUCAACGUGCUCAGCGUGGGGCUGGGGACCUGCGUGUACCUGUGGAGCGCCUGCACCAGCCAGGUGACCCGGCUCUGUGACCUCUCCGUGGAAGGGGACUCAGUGACAUCUGUGGGCUGGUCCGAACGGGUCAGUACAUGGGCCCUGUCCACCAGCUGGCAGGGCUGGCACAGGGGAGAUGUGACCAAGUCUCGUGGGCGGGGUCCUGUACAGUGCUGAGGGGGCUUCAGAGACCCACAGGGGCCGGACCCCAGCCUGGACGUCACUUGUGUAAGCUCCAGGAGUGGCCUCGGCACCGCUGCCUGUCCCCAGCCUGGUAAAGAUGUUUGCAGAGAUGGGGCUCCUCCCCAGAGACUCUGGGCCAGACUUGGUUCCCUGCAGACUGCCCUCCCCC